CCCUACGGCCAUGCCACCCUGAACAAGCCCGAUCCCGUCUGAUCUCGGAAGCUAAGCAGGGUCGGGGCUGGUUAGUGCUCGGAUGGGAGACCACUUAGGAAGACCAGGGGCUGUAGGUG
rnacentral:rRNA from 1 species